UCGGAGUACUGAUCCAAGAACUAAGGCUGGUGGUAUUGAGUUAGGUGCUGAAUUUGCUCUUGUGCGCAUAGACGAACCUAUUCUUGAUAAUGAGGAGUUGGUAAGGGAAGUUUCUGAUUGCAAGACAAUUGGCGAGGCUUUCACUUCAGGAUACUUAAUUGCCUGGCCUUCAGCUUUUAUUCGAGAGAAGGAUGGUUGAUUUGCAGCUGAAUUCUUGGAUCAAGAAGCAAAUAAAAUCUGAAGAUUUUAGCUACAAUAGUUGUAGUUUACAUUGAUAGAUUUAAAAGUGUAAUAUCAUCCAGAAGAUCUUUUUCUUUCAUCGAAUUGAUGCAAAUGCGACAGUGUAAUAUUCCCCAUAGUUGUGUUUUCUAUCCUCAAAAUUAUAUGACUGAUAUCUUUAUUGUAA